GUUGGACGACGGGGCGGGUCCUUGCGGGGUGGGGCUCUGGAGGCCGGGGAAGAUCUGCCCAGCCAGCCCGGCCUGCCGGGCGCCGAGGCGCCUUUCCCUAGCUGCCUGGCCCCUGGAGCAAUGUGAUAAGAUGGGAUUGCGGCGAGCUCUGGGGAGACUCGGUCCGAAAGAGAGGCCAGAAAGGAUCAACUCUAAAACCAGCCUAUCAGACCAGACAUCUGCCAUAAGCACAGCCUCAGACCACCGACUGUAGAGUUUUUUGAGUCACUCCCUCCUCAACCAAAAUAAAGUCUUCCUGUGCAGCCCACACUGAUCUUCAAGAACUCAGUAUGCAACCCAGGCCUGCCUCAGCUUCCCAGGUAUUGGGAUUAUAGUUUCAGAUUUUAUCAAGAUAGUUGUUACCCAUCUCUACCUUCAGACCUGUGGCAGUCAAUUCUGUACUAGCUUCUAAAGCAGUUUGCACACAACUUACAGGAGUCAAGGCAGGUUCACUGGGAAGCUGGUCUUGGAUGAGUUGACUGGCCCCAAGGACUGAGUUCAGGGGAGUCGCCAUGGGGAGGAGAAACGAUGCUGGUGCUCAUGCAGAGAGACGAGAAGAGGAAGAGGAGGGAGGAAGGGAGGAACUCAUUAAUUUAGGAGGUCAAUCAUAUAAUGGUAACUUCAUAGAUAAUUGCCCCACUGGCUGAAAUAAUUCCUUUUACUCAGCUGGCUUAAGUCUGAAAAAAACUGUCAUUAUUUUGCUGUGCUCUAGA